UGACACUGAUGUGGGCAAUCUCUGAGUAGCUUUUUGUAUCUCUCCCAAGCUUGACAUAGAGUCUCGCCAUCUUUUUGUUGAAACCCCAGAAUUUGGCUUCUCAGUGA
rfam:Nicotiana attenuata strain TT chromosome 1, whole genome shotgun sequence.